GACGAACCGAGCGAACGUUAUUCGGAAUCACUGGGCUUAAAGGGUGCGUAGGCGGGCACGCGAGUCAGGGGUGAAAUCCCACGGCCCAACCGUGGAAGUGCCUCUGAUACCGCGAGCCUCGAGGGGGAUAGGGGCGUGCGGAACUUCCGGUGGAGCGGUGAAAUGCGUAGAUAUCGGAAGGAACACCGGUGGCGAAAGCGGCGCGCUGGAUCCCUACUGACGCUAAGGCACGAAAGCCAGGGGAGCAAACGGG
rnacentral:rRNA from 1 species